rnacentral:rRNA from 1 species
GACGGAGGGUGCUAGCGUUGCUCGGAAUCACUGGGCGUAAAGCGCACGUAGGCGGAUUGUUAAGUCAGGGGUGAAAUCCUGGAGCUCAACUCCAGAACUGCCUUUGAUACUGGCGAUCUCGAGUCCGGGAGAGGUGAGUGGAACUGCGAGUGUAGAGGUGAAAUUCGUAGAUAUUCGCAAGAACACCAGUGGCGAAGGCGGCUCACUGGCCCGGUACUGACGCUGAGGUGCGAAAGCGUGGGGAGCAAACAGGG